rnacentral:tRNA from 1 species
GGGGUUGUGGCUCUGUGGUAGAGCACUCACCUAGCAUGUGUGAGGCCCUGGGUUCCAUCCUCAGCACCACA